UGAUGCUGUUCUUGAAUUCAGUUACUCCUGUCAGUACUACUUCUAACCCAGAAGAUGACUAUAGACAAUGGCACAAGAAUGAAGCACAUGUUUCUGUAUGACCUGCUUGGGAUUUCCACAGACACAGCACCAUAAAGCUCCAUUCUCUUCACACUGGUUAAAGAUUAAUGGAGCAUUAAAGCAUUGGGUCUGCCUCGGACACUAUCACUAGAGUUAUGUAUACAACUUCAGCCCCACUGAAGUUAACAACAAAAUAAACAUAGGGCAAAUUGUAGCACAUUAAGACCUCGAGUUGAGACCAACUUCCUUGGCAGUAAGAGGCAAUUUGAGUCUUUCCGACUGCCAGUCCUCCCCUGAACAGAGUCCAGCGUCAUUUUGUGGUCUGUUUCCAUCUAGCUGUGUGGGAGAAUAAGGCACAUAAAUCAAUCAACCAACUUCUGAAAUAAGGAGAGAAGGAAGUCUGUGUUAAGAUGGCUGGUUUGGGGGUGUAUAAUAUUGACUGUUGCAGACUGGGCUUAUGUGCUGUUGUUUAAUUGUUUUUUCACAAUUCCUAUAAGAGAA